CAUCAAGGCCAUCAACCACCCGAGCCACUGCCUGUUCACCCCGCUAUCAUCCAGAAGGCGAGGUCAGUACAGGUGCAUCAAAGCUGGGACCGAGAGACUGAAAAACAGCUUCUAUCUCAAGGCCAUCAGACUGUUAAACAGCCACCACUAACAUUGAGUGGCUGCUGCCAACACACUGUCAUUGACACUGACUCAACUCCAGCCACUUUAAUAAUGGGAAUUGAUGGGAAAUUAUGUAAAACACUAGCCACUUUAAACAAUGCUACCUAAUAUAAUGUUUACAUGCACUACAUUAUUCAUCUCAUAUGCAUACGUAUAUACUGUACUCUAUAUCAUCUACUGCAACCUUAUGUAAUACAUGUAUCACUAGCCACUUUAACUAUGCCACUUUGUUUACAUACUCAUCUCAUAUGUAUAUACUGCACUCAAUACCAUCUACUGUAUCUUGCGUAUGCCGCUCUGUACCAUCACUCAUUCAUAUAUCCUUAUGUACAUAUUCUUUAUCCCCUUACACUUGUGUCUAUAAGGUAGUAGUUUUGGAAUUGUUAGCUAGAUUACUUGUUGGUUAUUACUGCAUUGUCGGAACUAGAAGCACAAGCAUUUCGCUACACUCGCACUAACAUCUGCUAACCAUGUGUAUGUGACAAAUACAAUUUGAUUUGAUUUGAUUUGAAAAAGUAGUUCAGGUGGCUGUUUGUCUUUGUAGGACAGUAGUUCAGGUGGCUGUUUGUGUAGAUGCUGUUUGUCUUUGUAGGACAGUAGUUCAGGUGGCUGUUUGUGUAGAUGCUGUUUGUCUUUGUAGGACAGUAGUUCAGGUGGCUGUUUGUGUAGAUGCUGUUUGUCUUUGUAGGACAGUAGUUCAGGUGGCUGUUUGUGUAGAUGCUGUUUGUCUUUGUAGGACAGUAGUUCAGGUGGCUGUUUGUGUAGAUGCUGUUUGUCUUUGUAGGACAGUAGUUCAGGUGGCUGUUUGUGUAGAUGCUGUUUGUCUUUGUAGGACAGUAGUUCAGGUGGCUGUUUGUGUAGAUGCUGUUUGCCUUUGUAGGACAGUAGAUCAGGUGGCUGUUUGUCUCUGUAGGACAGUAGUUCAGGUGGCUGUUUGUCUUUGUAGGACAGUAGUUCAGGUGGCUGUUUGUGUAGAUGCUGUUUGUCUUUGUAGGACAGUAGUUCAGGUGGCUGUUUGUCUCUGUAGGACAGUAGUUCAAGUGACUGUUUGUCUUUGUAGGACAGUAGUUCAGGUGGCUGUUUGUCUCUGUAGGACAGUAGUUCAGGUGGCUGUUUGUGUAGAUGCUGUUUGUCUCUGUAGGACAGUAGUUCAGGUGGCUGUUUGUGUAGAUGCUGUUUGUCUCUGUAGGACAGUAGUUCAGGUGGCUGUUUGUGUAGAUGCUGUUUGUCUCUGUAGGACAGUAGUUCAGGUGGCUGUUUGUUUUUGUAGGACAGUAGCUCAGGUGGCUGUUUGUCUCUGUAGGACAGUAGUUCAGGUGGCUGUUUGUCUUUGUAGGACAGUAGUUCAGGUGGCUGAUUGUCUCUGUAGGACAGUAGGUUAGGUGGCUGUUUGUCUCUGUAGGACAGUAGAUCAGGUGGCUGUUUGUGUAGAUGCUGUUUGUCUUUGUAGGACAGUAGUUCAGGUGGCUGCCCUUGCACUUAGUGUGCCUCCUGUCCCUCCCAUCGGCAUGGUUACACCUUCCUGAAAACAUUGACUCCAUACUUUGCUGAAACCUGUUCUGCCAGUUCAUGUCCUUAAAGACUAGAAUGUUCCAAUGUGGUUAGCCAAAGAGAUGACAAGAUAGUUCACACAUGCAUCUUUCAGGGUAACUGUCAAACAGACAUGUCACAUUUCUGGUUGGUCCAUAACUAGUUUCCUGCUUGUAGCAGGCAGUGUUAACAGGAAUCCUCUUCUCUAACUAGAAGUCAUGUGAUUUCAUGAGGAUGUUGUUCUGCAGUGAGAGUGUAAUGCAAGUCAAGGUGUC